UCCGGAGGGUGCAAUCGUUGUCCGGAUUUAUUGGGUUUAAAGGGUGCGUAGGUGGCUUUUUAAGUCAUGGGUGAAAGCCCGCAGCUCAACUGUGGAAUUGCCUGUGAUACUGAAUAGCUUGAGUGCGGUUGAGGCAGCUGGAAUUGGUGGUGUAGCGGUGAAAUGCAUAGAUACCACCAGGAACACCGAUUGCGAAGGCAGGUUGCUAAGCCGUAACUGACACUGAGGCACGAAAGCGUGGGGAUCAAACAGG
rnacentral:rRNA from 1 species